ensembl:lncRNA
UUUUUUUUUUUUUACAAAGGGCAAGACUGCAUUCUGUAAACUGGAAAACAAACCCACCUUACUCAAACUCAGUGCUGUUCAUUGUAAUCUGCCCAGAAAUGGGAGUGGAUUUGAUGUUGGAACCUGUCUUCCUUUUCCAGAAGUGAGCCUCCAUGCCAGCCUUUGCCAAAUGUGUCCCUUCUCCUCCAGUCCUGUGUGAACCCCCAUCAGGAGGGGGACCGUGUAUCUGCCCCUCUCCCUCCUGCUGGAAGCUGGGUUUCAGAAGUGCCAGUUGGAUGUGGAAAGCCAUGGGCUGCUCUGAGCCAUUCUGCAGGUUCUUGCUUCCCUGUGUUCUCCAGGGAAAUGAACCUCCAGUAAAUGGUUUUGUGGUUCCUGAGCAGUUUGGUUAGAUCAAAGCUCCUCAUUACUAGCCGUGCAUAUCAGCCACUUGUAUGUGUGCUGUAGGAAGGCACUUGGAGAGCUCUGGGUCCUGUCUGCAGGCCUGUGGAAGGUCUAUGACAGAAGAUUGUGUGAGCUGGUGCUUGGCUUUAGCCCAGAUCUGCCCUCCGGGGAGGAGCGAAGCACAGAGAAGCUGCAGAAUGGCUCCAGCUGCUGAAAGCCCAGCAUGGAGAGGACACGGGGUGGGAGGAGCAGCAGACAAGGCUGUGCCUAGAAAGCGGUGCUGAUGCUGCAGGCUCCGAUGGGACAAGCUCAGCUUGAGCUGGAGAGGAAUGCACGGCACCGGAGUGCUGUGGAGUAUUGGGAAGCAGCAUGUGUCUGCCCUGGGGAAGGGGUGUCCAUAACCCCACAGGUGAGGAUCCCACCUCCCUGCUCUCCUGUAGCUCCCAAGGAUUGUCCCCCAUUCCCACAGCAUGGGGCUGUGUGUCUGUCCUCCAGCAGUAGCACGUGCUUCAUCCCUCCUUCCCAAGGAGCUUGGGCUCUGUCACCCGUGCUAGCUGCGGGCUGGAGCACAGCCCGAAGUAGCCCAGCUUGGGUCACAUAGCACGUCAUUGCAGGCCAUUUCGGUCACUAGAAGCCACCCAAGUCCCUCGCCCAGGAGGCCAGAUACUUCUUUGGGACAUGGAAAGACAUUUGGCUUCUCCUAGCCAGCUCCAGCUGGCUCCGGAGCUGGGCAAGCACUGUGGAAAGGCCAAGUGGCUCAUGUCAUCGUGUGAAGGACAAUUCCAGGCCUUGCCUCCCCCAUAAACCUCCCCAGACCCCACUGCCCACCAUUCCCAAGGACACAUCUGCCUGCUCCUUGGAAGGGACAGGGUGCCACCAGGCCUGCCCUGCGUUGGAGGGAGCAGCGUGCGUGGCUGGCUGCAUCUCCUGGUGACAAGGAUCUGCUUGGGAGGGGAAAGCUCUGUGUGUAAUUUGUUCCCUUGAGAAGGGAGGAGGAGGAAGGGAAGCUGGUUUCUUUGCCCAGCUUGAUCUCAGGAGAAAUUCCCUAUAGAAAGGCUCUUCCAUGCAGACCAGAAAUGCUGCUUCCUUCCACUACUCUACUGCUGUCUGAGUGCUUCAGCUGGGGAGAGCAGCCAAAGGGCUCAGCUCUGUCCCAGCAUGGCUCUGGUUUUAAUCUGUGGUUUUAAUCGAAGGGAGUUGGGGAAGGUGGUUCCAUUGCAGAGCUGUGAAGGUGUUGGAGGGCUGGAUGGAGGCUCAGACCGGGAUGGCAGAAAGGGGAAGGGGCUGGAGGGACAUGUCACAUGCAGCUCUCCGGUCUCUGGGCAAUAAAGCCACCAAGCCCCUGGCAUCAGAGGUCUCUGCCUGGGGAUGGUUGUCCCUUCACACUGAUGGCUCAUGGAUGUGUGGUGGUUCACUCCAGUUCCUUUGGCCACCCCAUGAGAGCUUCUUGUGACCCGCUGAGCACCCCGGGGAGCUCAGGCCUUGCUGAUAGAGGGGUUUUAGGCGAAACGUGUUGUUUUAAGGGCAUUUUUGUACAAAGCAACUGUUCUUUUGGUCUUGCGAAGCCCUCUCGGAGGACGCUGCGUUGUUUACAUUGACUCCUGUACAAUAUCUCAGCCAUCGCCUCCCCUCGCCCGCCCCGGCUCCGGCUGUACUGUAACGUGUGAGCCUUGCACAAACGGAUCGUGUGUGUGUGAACCUGGUUUGUACACUGUUCUGUUGCACUCGGUGGUGUGUGUGUGUGUGUCCCCUGCUCCCAUCAUGGUGCGUCCUGCCUUAAUCUGGUCCCAGCUCCAUGCACCCCCCCCAUGCUUCUCCCUAAGGGAGGGACCCCCCCAAGCCCUUGCUGGUGUGGGACAGAGGCAGGCGCUGGCCUGGCACGGGAGGGGUCCAGGCUCUUGGUCACCCUCCAGCAGUGCUGCCAGAGGUGCUAACAGCCCGCCCGCGCUGCAGACAUCUCUGUUGGCACAAAAGGUGGUGCCAGUGCCUUUUAUUUUCCUUUAUGGAGAUGUGACGUCCGUGCUGGUGCGUAGGGAUCACCUCGGGGGUGGCUGGUGCUGGAGUUGCAAACCGGGGGGCGCUUCCGUCUGCUCCUCCUGGAUCUUCCUUGGUGGCUGGGAUCGUCCCCUUCCCCCCUAAAGACUUUAUGACCGAUGUGCUCAGCUGUUUUUAAAUGUGAACUUGUGCACUGAUGCGCAGAUUCAAUGUUCUUGUUACCGAAUA